rnacentral:rRNA from 1 species
UGAAUACGAGACGCUAAGGCGUCGAAGUAGUGUAUGUCAUACUUCCAAGAAAAGCUUGCACUGUCAUAGAUAAAAAACGCCUGUACCAUAACCGACACAGGUGGGUAGGUAGAGUAUACUAAGGGGCGCGAGAUAACUCUCUCUAAGGAACUCGGCAAAAUAACUCCGUAACUUCGGGAGAAGGAGUGCCUUAUUCUUAAGGUUGCAAUAACAAGAUCCAAGCAACUGUUUUAUCAAAAACACAGGUCUCCGCUAAGUCGUAAGACGAUGUAUGGGGGCUGACGCCUGCCCAGUGCCAGAAGGUUAAAGAAGCUGGUUAGCAUUUGCGAAGCUAGUAACUGAAGCCCUGGUGAACGGCGGCCGUAACUAUAACGGUCCUAAGGUAGCGAAAUUCCUUGUCGGGUAAGUUCCGACCCGCACGAAAGGCGUAAUGAUUUGGAUACUGUCUCGGAGAGGGGCUCGGUGAAAUAGACUUGUCUGUGAAGAUGCGGACUACCUGCACCAGGACAGAAAGACCCUAUGAAGCUUUACUGUAACUUGAAAUUGAAAUUGGACUUUAUUCGCGCAGUAUAGGUGGGAGGCGUUGAUUAUAAUCUUGCGGGAUAUUGGAGCCAUUAGUGAGAUACCACUCUUGUAAUGUUAGAUUCUAACUUUGAAUCAUUAUCUGGUCAAAGAACAGUUUCAGGCGGGCAGUUUGACUGGGGCGGUCGCCUCCUAAACGGUAACGGAGGCGUACAAAGGUUUCCUCUGAACGGUUAGAAAUCGUAUCUAGAGUGUAAAGGCAUAAGGAAGCUUGACUGUGAGACCUACAAGUCGAGCAGGGACGAAAGUCGGUCUUAGUGAUCUGACGGUACUGAGUGGAAAGGCCGUCACUCAACGGAUAAAAGUUACUCUAGGAUAACAGGCUGAUCUCCCCCAAGAGUUCACAUCGACGGGGAGGUUUGGCACCUCGAUGUCGGCUCAUCGCAUCCUGGGGCGGUAGUACGUCCCAAGGGUUGGGCUGUUCGCCCAUGAAAGCGGUACGCGAGCUGGGUUCAGAACGUCGUGAGACAGUUCGGUCCAUAUCCGGUGUAGGCGUUAGAAUAUUGAGAGGAGCCUUCUUUAGUACGAGAGGACCGAGAAGGACAUACCUCUGGUGUACCAGUUAUCGUGCCAACGGUAAACGCUGGGUAGCUAUGUAUGGAGUGGAUAACCGCUGAAAGCAUCUAAGUGGGAAGCCCACCUCAAGAUAAGUAUUCUCAC